AUACAGAGGGUGCGAGCGUUAAUCGGAAUUACUGGGCGUAAAGCGCGCGUAGGCGGCUACUUAAGUCAGAUGUGAAAUCCCCGGGCUCAACCUGGGAACUGCAUCUGAUACUGGGUAGCUAGAGUUUUGGAGAGGGAAGUAGAAUUUCAGGUGUAGCGGUGAAAUGCAUAGAGAUCUGAAGGAAUACCAGUGGCGAAGGCGACUUCCUGGCCAAAAACUGACGCUGAGGUGCGAAAGCGUGGGUAGCAAACGGGAUUAGAUACCCAAGUAGUCC
rnacentral:rRNA from 1 species